UACGUAGGGGGCAAGCGUUGUCCGGAUUUAUUGGGCGUAAAGAGCGUGUAGGCGGCCAGACAGGUCCGUUGUGAAAACUCGAGGCUCAACCUCGAGACGCCGAUGGAAACCGUCUGGCUAGAGUCCGGAAGAGGAGAGUGGAAUUCCUGGUGUAGCGGUGAAAUGCGCAGAUAUCAGGAAGAACACCCGUGGCUAAGGCGGCUCUCUAGUACGGUACUGACGCUGAGGAGCGAAAGCAUGGGGAGCGAACAGG
rnacentral:rRNA from 1 species